rnacentral:rRNA from 1 species
GAUGAACGCUAGCGACAGGCUUAACACAUGCAAGUCGAGGGGCGGCGAGAAAGAGCUUGCACUUUUGUCGGCGACCGGCGCACGGGUGAGUAACACGUAUGCAACCUGCCCUUGUCAGGGGGAUAAGCGGGGGAAACCCCGUCUAAUACCGCAUAUAUGGUUUGGAGGCAUCUUUAAAUCAGGAAAGAAUUAUCGGACAAGGAUGGGCAUGCGGGACAUUAGGUAGUUGGGGGUGUAACGGACCACCAAGCCGACGAUGUCUAGGGGUUCUGAGAGGAAGGUCCCCCACACUGGUACUGAGACACGGACCAG